GACGUAGGGUGCAAGCGUUGUCCGGAUUUACUGGGCGUAAAGCGCGCGUAGGCGGCUCGUUAAGUGUGACGUGAAAUCCCUGGGCUCAACUCAGGAACUGCUUUACAUACUGGCGAGCUUGAGGGAUGCAGAGGUCUGUGGAAUUCCUGGUGUAAUGGUGAAAUGUGUUGAUAUCAGGAGGAACACCCAUGGCGAAGGCAGCAGACUGGGCAUCGCCUGACGCUGAGGUGCGAAAGCGUGGGUAGCGAACAGG
rnacentral:rRNA from 1 species